rnacentral:rRNA from 1 species
UACGGGGGGAGCAAGCGUUGUUCGGAUUUACUGGGCGUAAAGGGCGCGUAGGCGGUCGUGACAAGUCACUUGUGAAAUCUCCGGGCUUAACUCGGAACGGUCAAGUGAUACUGUCGGACUAGAGUACAGAAGGGGCAACUGGAAUUCUCGGUGUAGCGGUGAAAUGCGUAGAUAUCAGGAGGAACACCGGUGGCGAAGGCGGUUCUCUGGGCAUGUUCUGACGCUGAGGAGCGAAAGUGUGGGGAGCGAACAGG